UCGUCGACCGGCGCACGGGCGAGUAAACGCGUCUUCCAACCCGCUCUCCGAAGCUCAAGGGAUAACCCGUCGAAAAGUCGGCCUAAUACCUUCAUGCAGUCGUCGGAGAGUCAUCUGAUGACGACGAGAAGAUUUUCAUCGGUGAGAGAUGGGGAUGCGUCUGAUUAGCUUCGUUGGCGGGGUAACGGCCCACCAAGGCGACGAUCAGUAGGGGUUUCUGAGAGGAAGGUCCCCCACAUUGGAACUGAGACACGGUCCAAACUCCUACGGGAGGCAGCAGUGAGGAAUAUUGGUCAAUGGGCGUAAGCCUGAACCAGCCAAGUAGCGUGCAGGAUGACGGCCCUAUGGGUUUGUAAACUGCUUUUUAUGCGGGGAUAAAGUUGAGGGACGUUGUCCUUCAUUUGCAGGUACCGCAUGAAUAAGGACCGGCUAAUUUCCUGCCAGCAGCCCGCGGUAAUACGGAAGGUCCGGGCGUUUAUCCGGAUUUUUUGGGUUUAAAGGGAGCGUAGGCCGUGGAUUAAGCGUGUUGUGAAAUGUAGACGCCUCAACGUCUGACUUUCAGCGCGAACUGGUCCACUUGAGUGUGCACAACGCAGGCGGAAUUCGUCGUGUAGCGGUGAAAUGCUUAGAUAUGACGAAGAACCCCGAUUGCGAAGGCAGCUUGCGGGAGCACGACUGACGCUGAAGCUCGAAAGUGCGGGUAUCGAACAGGAUUAGAUACCCUGGUAGUCCGCACGGUAAACGAUGGAUGCCCGUUGUCAGGUUAUUUUAGUCUGGUGACCAAGCGAAAGCAUUAAGCAUCCCACCUGGGGAGUACGCCGGCAACGGUGAAACUCAAAGGAAUUGACGGGGGCCCGCACAAGCGGAGGAACAUGUGGUUUAAUUCGAUGAUACGCGAGGAACCUUACCCGGGCUUGAAUUGCAGACGAACGAUUCAGAGAUGAUGAGGCCCUUCGGGGCGUCUGUGAAGGUGCUGCAUGGUUGUCGUCAGCUCGUGCCGUGAGGUGUCGGCUUAAGUGCCAUAACGAGCGCAACCCCUAUUCUCGGUUGCCAUCGGGUAAUGCCGGGCACUCCGUGGAGACUGCCACCGUAAGGUGUGAGGAAGGUGGGGACGACGUCAAAUCAGCACGGCCCUUACGUCCGGGGCUACACACGUGUUACAAUGGCCGGUACAGCGAGUCGGCCGCAUGCAAAUGCGGUCCAAUCCUGAAAGCCGGUCCCAGUUCGGACCGGGGUCUGCAACCCGACCCCGCGAAGCCGGAUUCGCUAGUAAUCGCGCAUCAGCCAUGGCGCGGUGAAUACGUUCCCGGGCCUUGCACACACCGCCCGUC
rnacentral:rRNA from 1 species